AAAAGUUCGUUUGAGUUUUUCU
rnacentral:miRNA from 1 species